rnacentral:miRNA from 1 species
GUGGUGGAGAGGCAGUC